GACGAACGCUGGCGGCGUGCUUAACACAUGCAAGUCGAACGAUGAAGCCGGAGCUUGCUCCGGUGGAUUAGUGGCGAACGGGUGAGUAACACGUGAGCAAUCUGCCCUUGACUCUGGGAUAACUGCGGGAAACUGUAGCUAAUACCGGAUACGACACCUUGGGGCAUCCCAGGGUGUGGAAAGAAUUUCGGUCAAGGAUGAGCCCGCGGCCUAUCAGCUAGUUGGUGAGGUAAUGGCUCACCAAGGCGACGACGGGUAGCCGGCCUGAGAGGGUAACCGGCCACACUGGAACUGAGACACGGUCCAGACUCCUACGGGAGGCAGCAGUGGGGAAUAUUGCACAAUGGGCGAAAGCCUGAUGCAGCAACGCCGCGUGAGGGAUGAAGGCCUUCGGGUUGUAAACCUCUUUUAGCAGGGAAGAAGCGAAAGUGACGGUACCUGCAGAAAAAGCACCGGCUAACUACGUGCCAGCCGCCGCGGUAA
rnacentral:rRNA from 1 species